rnacentral:rRNA from 1 species
AUUGAACGCUGGCGGCAGGCUUAACACAUGCAAGUCGAGCGGGGUGAUGGUGCUUGCACUAUCACUUAGCGGCGGACGGGUGAGUAAUGCUUAGGAAUCUGCCUAUUAGUGGGGGACAACAUCUCGAAAGGGAUGCUAAUACCGCAUACGUCCUACGGGAGAAAGCAGGGGAUCACUUGUGACCUUGCGCUAAUAGAUGAGCCUAAGUCGGAUGAGCUAGUUGGUGGGGUAAAGGCCUACCAAGGCGACGAUCUGUAGCGGGUCUGAGAGGAUGAUCCGCCACACUGGGACUGAGACACGGCCCAGACUCCUACGGGAGGCAGCAGUGGGGAAUAUUGGACAAUGGGGGGAACCCUGAUCCAGCCAUGCCGCGUGUGUGAAGAAGGCCUUAUGGUUGUAAGGCACUUUAAGCGAGGAGGAGGCUCUUUUGGUUAAUACCCAAGAUGAGUGGACGUUACUCGCAGAAUAAGCACCGGCUAACUCUGUGCCAGCAGCCGCGGUAA